ensembl:misc_RNA 7SK 7SK RNA
GGGUGUGAGGACGAUCUGGGUUUCUAUCAUUCACUGAUCCAAGGUUGAUUCAGUUGACCUGCCUGGGCAGGCAGGUGGUUCACUCCUCUUUCACCUGUCUCUCUGGUCCCUCCCUCCUUGAGAUCUUCCUGACACAAUAGAGAGGAAGACUGCUUUUUAAUCAAGGCUGUAUGAGGAGUUGUACUCCCUACUAGAACCUCCACACAAGCUCCCAGGGACCAUGCUUUGAGAACACUUGAUGGCCUUGUAUUCUCAUAGCUUAGCCAUGGGAUUGUUGUGAAGACUACUAGAAGCAUUCAUCAU